rnacentral:rRNA from 1 species
UACAGAGACGUCGAGCGUUGUUCGGAUUCAUUGGGCGUAAAGGGUGCGUAGGCGGUGAGGUAAGUCGGAUGUGAAAUCCCAAGGCUUAACCUUGGAAGUGCAUCCGAAACUGCCUCGCUUGAGGACUGGAAGGGAGACUGGAAUUCUCGGAGUAGCGGUGAAAUGCGUAGAUAUCGAGAGGAACACCUGUGGCGAAGGCGGGUCUCUGGACAGUUCCUGACGCUGAGGCACGAAAGCCAGGGGAGCAAACGGG